rnacentral:rRNA from 1 species
UCGAGAAUCUUCCGCAAUGGGCGCAAGCCUGACGGAGCGACGCCGCGUGGAGGACGAAGGCCUUCGGGUUGUAAACUCCUGUCACGAGUUAAGAAGGGCAUGCAGCGAACAGCUGUAGGCCUUGACGUAAGCUCGAGAGGAAGCACUGGCUAACUCUGUGCCAGCAGCCGCGGUAAUACAGAGAGUGCGAACGUUGUUCGGAAUUACUGGGCUUAAAGCGCACGUAGGCGGCUUGGUAAGUCCGGUGUGAAACCUUGGGGCUCAACCCCAAGCCUGCAUCGGAUACUGCCUCGCUCGAGUUCGGGAGGGGAGAGCGGAAUUCCUAGUGUAGCGGUGAAAUGCGCAGAUAUUAGGAAGAACACCGGUGGCGAAGGCGGCUCUCUGGAACGAUACUGACACUGAGACGCGAAAGCGUGGGUAGCGAACAGGAUUAGAUACCCCGGUAGUCCCUGAGCGGGCUGGCAAGGCGCAU